CCACACCCACGGCUGGUACGCGACGCUGCGCUCGGCGAAGCGGCCCCACGUGUCCCACCGGUUGUUGUCGUGCAGCGGGUGCUUGUCGGCGUACGACAGGUCGCCGACGAACAGCACGGCGUCGCCCUGGUGGGACUCGUAGUGCGCCAGCGUGCUGUUGGAGUCGGCCGUCUGGCCAAGGUCGCCGAUGAGCCCCAGACGCAGCGGCACGUCGGGACCGGGCGCCGGCGGCGUCGUGAACCAGAACGCGCGCACCGUGUCGCCCACCCCCACACCGACG
rnacentral:lncRNA from 1 species